AUGACAGGUUAGUACAGUGGUGAACCUAUAGGCCUUCAGUGUGUGACAGGUUAGUACAGUGGUGAACCUAUAGGUCUUCAGUGUGUGACAGGUUAGUACAGUGGUGAACCUAUAGGUCUUCAGUGUGUGACAGGUUAGUACAGUGGUGAACCUAUAGGUCUUCAGUUUGACAGGUUAGUACAGUGGUGAACCUAUAGGUCUUCAGUUUGACAGGUUAGUACAGUGGUGAACCUAUAGGUCUUCAGUGUGUAACAGGUUAGUACAGUGGUGAACCUAUAGGUCUUCAGUGUGUGACAGGUUAGUACAGUGGUGAACCUAUCGACCUUCAGUGUGUGACAGGUUAGUACAGUGGUGAACCUAUAGGUCUUCAGUGUGUGACAGGUUAAUACAGUGGUGAACCUAUAGGUCUUCAGUGUGUGACAGGUUAGUACAGUGGUGAACCUAUAGGUCUUCAGUGUGUGACAGGUUAAUACAGUGGUGAACCUAUAGGCCUUCAGUGUGUGACAGGUUAGUACAGUGGUGAACCUAUAGGCCUUCAGUGUGUGACAGGUUAAUACAGUGGUGAACCUAUAGGCCUUCAGUGUGUGACAGGUUAGUACAGUGGUGAACCUAUAGGCCUUCAGUGUGUGACAGGUUAAUACAGUGGUGAACCUAUAGGUCUUCAGUGUGUGACAGGUUAGUACAGUGGUGAACCUAUAGGUCUUCAGUGUGUGACAGGUUAGUACAGUGGUGAACCUAUAGGUCUUCAGUGUGUGACAGGUUAGUACAGUGGUGAAC